UACGAAGGGUGCAAGCAUUAAUCGGAUUUAUUGGGCGUAAAGGGCGCGUAGGCGGGGAUGUAAGUCAGAUGUGAAAUCCCGGGGCUCAACCCCGGAACUGCAUUUGAAACUGCAUUUCUUGAGGAUAGAAGGAGAAAACGGAAUUCCACAAGUAGCGGUGAAAUGCGUAGAUAUGUGGAAGAGCACCGGUGGCGAAGGCGGUUUUCUAUCUUAUUCCUGACGCUAAGGCGCGAAAGCAAGGGGAUCAAACGGG
rnacentral:rRNA from 1 species